rnacentral:lncRNA from 1 species
UGGGCACAUGCUUCCUAUAUGCUCAGCCAGGUAUGCCUUUCUUUAAAGAUCUCAAAUCCCUCUAUUUCGAAAAUUGAAUCCAUCACAUUUAAUUUCCUACACCAGAAAAACAAAAUUAAUUCGACAUAUCUUCUAUAAAACUCGUAUAAUUUCAGGUACUGGGUGCUGAAAACGAGGCGAAAAAGAAGCUUAAGCACAUUGUCAUGGCAGCCACAAGGUGGUAUUAGAUAUGAAAAUCUACAUGUAUUAACUAACAAGUUAUAGCCAAAUAAACCAAUGAAUUUACAUUUCGUUUUUCGAUAUAUAAACAGAGAACAGAGAUUCGAGAGGGUGACAAAGAAUCUGAAGGUGGCUAGAGUAUUUACCACACUAGUGGAGGAGAUGAAAGCAAUCGGACUAGUAUCUCUCGACGAUUCACAGUGCACGAACGUGAUGGUGCCGAUGGCUCAUAAAGACAGAAGCCCGGUGCUCCUCCUCAUGGGUGGCGGCAUGGGAGCCGGCAAGAGUACUGUGCUCAAAGACAUUCUCAAAGAGUAAGCUAAAAAAAGAAAUGUUAAAUUUAUCAACUCCAAAUAAAUAGAAAAUAGAGAUAGAAUUAUUACAUUGUAGGAUUAACCCGAAUUUUGGAACAGACCAUUCUGGGCUGGAGCAUCUGGAAACGCAGUCGUAAUAGAAGCAGAUGCGUUCAAAGAAUCUGACGUCAUUUACAGAGCUCUAAGCUCUAGGGGCCACCACGACAUGCUUCAAACUGCUGAACUGGUAUUAUAUUUAUUCAUUGUCCAAUAACUGCAUAAACGAUAAACCUCUGCAUAAAAAAUUGAUCUCGUUCUUUUUUUUUUUUUUUUUGUGUGUGUGUGUGUAUAGGUGCACCAAUCGUCUACAGAUGCAGCAUCGUCACUCCUAGUGACAGCACUGAACGAAGGGAGGGAUGUGAUAAUGGACGGGACCCUCUCGUGGGUCCCGUUUGUUGUCCAAACGAUAAAUAUGGCAAGAAAUGUCCACCGAAAAAGAUACCGCAUGGGGGCCGGUUACAAAGUGGACGAUGCAGGAGUCGUCACUGAAAACUACUGGGAACAAAUUGACGAGGAGCAAGAGCAGGACGGGACUAAGAAGCGAAGAGCUUACAGGAUAGAGUUGGUCGGAGUUGUCUGUGAUGCUUACUUAGCAGUAAUCCGAGGAAUAAGGUUCCUGCCAAAAAAUAAAAAGAAAAAAAAAACAUCAUAGUACUACUAAUUUUAAGGUUUAAAAACAAUAAUUAACGGAUUAACUCUCGACUAUCUUUGUAUGGCACAGGAGAGCUAUAAUGUGUAGGCGAGCUGUAAGGGUGAACUCGCAGCUAAAAUCACACAAGAGAUUCGCAGAUGCAUUCACAACGUACUGCAACUUAGUAGACAAUGCUAGACUUUACAGCACCAAUGCAUUGGAAGGCCCUCCUAAGGUAUGUACACACAGUACUAACUUUUCUUCGUCUAAAAAAUUUUAACUAAUUUCGACAUAUAUAAAUAAAGAAAUAAAGAAAUAAAGAAAAUGUGGGGGUUGUGAAGUUGAUAGGAUGGAAAGACAAGGACAAGACACUGUUGGUGGAUCCAGACGAAAUAAAGAUACUGAAAGUGGUGGGGAGGUUGAACGAAGAAGCGGGUUCGAUAUUCGAGCUGUACAAGAGGCCGCAUCCAGGUUUCGAAGCGGGGUCCGUUUGGAACGACAUAGUUUUGUCGCCUUCGAGGUUGAACAUUCAGAAAGAGCUCAAGUAUUCCAUUCAGAAAGUCGAGAGCUUCCGAGAAUGAAUCAUCUUUGGUGUCACCGACACUAUACAUCAUCUAUUAUGCCAGACACUCAAACUUUAGCAGCAAAAUCCCAUCAUGGAGAUUUUAGGCUACUAGUUUUUUUUCUCGUUUUUUUUUAAUGUAUCGAUGUUUUUGCUUUGUCCCCCUUCAGCCAAUGGAUAAUACUACAUAGCAAAAAAAGAUGAGCAAUCCCCUCUCACAUAUAUACUAAAAAGAACAAUACAAGCAUACGUCUUUCUCACGAAAUUAUGCAUCAUGAUUAUAACUCUCAACAAAUUCAGCUGUUUACCUUUCUUUUUUAUUGUAUUCUCCAUACUAGUCCCGGAAACAAGAAACAGAAAGACCUAGUGUUGCUAAAUGCAAAGCCCAGGUUCGGAAACUGCCUUAAUAUUGAGAUCGUGAUGUUAAAAUCUGCCUAUUUUUAUUUUUCAAGCCACUUAACAACCUGAAAAGUCAUCGUAUUCAUCAUUUACGGUACAACGAGAGAGGAAAUAAAUGUGCUACUCUAUGUUGCAAUUUUAUCACAACAUGACACAGUUGUGCAGAAAAAAAUAGUUGUCAAUUUGUGUUUCUCAUUAGCAAUAAAAGUUGUUGACAGAGAAAAUUUAAUGACAAGGUAGGGAGAUGGCGGUAGGUGAAAAACAAGGUGAAAAGACGGCACGUGGUGAAUAUUAAUGCCAUUUUAGUGUUCGACAUACGUAAGAACAAAAUUAGCUUCAAUGAUAACAAUUCUAUGAUAUUUUUCUUUGAGAAAUAUUUUGGUGACGAUAAAAGUAUCACUCAAUGAGCUUCUUAGAUUUGUAGUUAAAAACUAAAUCUUAACAGAGGUUUCUAUAAUAGGGUUUAUACGUAAUUAGACACACGGUGAUGUGAUUUACUCUAUAUUUGGUCAAGGGUAAAAAUAAAAUUUUCAUUAAGUCAACGGUCAAAUGAGUUGAAAACGGCAAGUGUUAGCAGAAAACCCGAGGGUCGAUAUGCAUUGUUUCCAGUAAAAUAAAUUAUCAUAGAAAAGGAAAUGCCCUAGGUUCGAGUACAUAAAUCAAGCUUCAUGCAAGAAUACAUAAUCGCCAAUUUUUAGUCCUCCACAUUAACACCAAAUCAUAACGACGUAGGGAAGGAGACAAAAGCCAAGUUUCCUCUACGUUUCGUAAGCAGUGACACGUGUAUACUAUAAACAGAUACAACUAAUGAAGCAGCUCCCAAUACCAAGAUUUCACGUAUAUCUUCCAUGAAUUAAAUAAAGAAACGAAAGCCAAGCAAUUUACCUUCACAAGCAUUACUUUGUUUCUCUUCCGAAGUAAAGAAACAUCACAGAUUAGCC